CCUGGCGGCCAUAGCGCCGUGGAACCACCUGAACCCAUGCCGAACUCAGAAGUGAAACGCGGUAGCGCCGAUGGUAGUGUGGCAUUCGCCAUGC
rnacentral:rRNA from 2 species